GGAGGGAUGGCUGAGUGGUUGAAAGCGUCGGAUUGCUAAUCCGUUGUACUAGAUUGCUUGUACCGAGGGUUCGAAUCCCUCUCUUUCCA
rnacentral:tRNA from 1 species